AAAUCGGUUGUUGUGCAGUGCGAUCGGUGUGUACGCGGUUCUCGGUUUGCUUGCUGGUUUGUUAUGGCGCACUCGUCGGUAUGGAAGUAUUUUACUAAAUGCGGUGUUUACGAGGCGCUCUGCUCUAUUUGUAUGAAACAGUUUAAAACAGGCGGAGGCACUACGAAUCUCCGCACACAUUUGCGAACAAGACAUCCCAACAUUUUUAAUGAUCCAAAGAUGGAAGCUGGAUUGAUAACAAAAAGAGAAAUUAUGGAUGAUUCCAUAUUACCCGAUAUGCACGCCCAACAUCCACCUCCUCAAUUCGGCGGCGAGCAAGACAAAUCCGAACCAAUAAUAGAAUUAUCUUUAGGAGUACCGAAUCUUGUUACUAACGUUGUAAAUAAUGGCAAUAUACCUGCACCUAAGCGAAGGAAACGUAAACUAGCUGAAUCUCUGCCUAACAUGAACGGAUUUUUCGACAAACACGAUCCGAAAGAAGACAAAUUCGACGUGAUCGGAAAAAACAUUGCGUACAAGUUGCGUGAUCUCUCACCAGAUGUCUCACUAGUAGCGGAAAAGCUAAUUUCCGACAUUUUAUACGAAGCUGCCGUUGGUAAUAUUAGCAAACAUUCUAGAAUAAAUAUCUUUGAUGCCGAUCCCGCGGUCGUCCUACCGAUGAAUUAAUGACAUCACUUGUUAAUUAAUAUUAAUUGAUAUUUUCUAUUACAUCCUGGGCAUCACACAUUUUGUACGCUUAGAUUUUAAGUAUUUUAUCUCGUGAUAUUAUUGUAUAUAAUAAAAAAAGGGUACAUAUUUGAAGUGGA